GAGGCUCUUCUGUUAUCUCUGUUCCAAAUGUUCCAAUAUGUUCCAAUUUCAUAUCCAGUGGUAGCUCCCGGCGAUGUCCCGCCUCCCUGGUCUCCCUCCAGUCGCUGCGCAGUAUCCGUCUCGGCGUGUCCCGGCCACGGGAAAACCGACAGCCAAUCAGAAGGCUCUAUUUGUUCCUGCGCUGACAAACUGCCUGGGAGCCCCUCCUCCCCUUCAAUCAGUGGUGAACCAGGUGGAACAAAUCUUCCAGGCAAUCUGAGCGUGCCAGUAGCUGGCUCUGUUGUUGUCUUUAGACCGCAGUGGAAGGAGCAUUUAUAGCACCACAAAACCAAGGAAACUUGAUCUUUGUCAUUAAAGUGAUUGUGCAAGACCAAGCCCCCCACAAAACUGAAGGACAGCCGGUUUUUCAACUGCUUACUGCCCACCAAAGAUUGGUUAAUAAAAGACAAACAACUGAUCCCAUGGCUGUUGAGUGAAAUCCAGUUAAUAUCUUACCAAUUUCAUAGUAUCAAACUUUUGCGCAUCCAAUGAGAGACGCGGAUUUGUUCCAAAUUCUCAAUGUCCCGCCUCCAUUCUGCUGGUUUACCGCUGCGCGAGGGGCUCCACAUCUCUGGAGUCCUUCCACCUCAACGGGUUCAUCCCAGGGACCCGAGCUAAAGCGAAGCAUUUCCAGGCGUUCCUGGCCGAUGGACUGGUGAGGUGGAAUGAGGACCGCGCAGCUGCACCACCGACUGCAGCUGAGGGCCAGGGGAGCUCAUCGGCAUGGAGUUCCUGUACCAGCAGACGGGCAGAGUGCUUGAGGAUAUCAGCUUUGGACCCUGACACUCCGGACGAGGCCACUGCCGUUGAGUCGCUCGAGGAGGCCGUGGACGAGACUAUGUGAAGGACCCCACCGUCUUCGAGCCUGAUAUGGUGGCAGCAGGCGGGUCAGGUGAUCCAGCUGACCCUCCCAGACUCCGGGUGAGGCAGCCCAAGGGGCGGUUCAAGGCAG